ensembl:lncRNA
AUGAAUAAACAAAAGAAAACAGUUGUUUUCCUCAUCUCACCUAAGAGAGAAAAAAUAGACCUAAAUGUGGGUGGUAAUUUGAGGAAUGAUCCUGUGAAAAACAUGAAAGAAAGACUGUGUCGGGGAGAGCAAACUGAGAGGCUCAUUAAGUUCAUUCUUACCUUUUCAGUUCUUUCCAACUGGGAAUGUCCCAGUACUUCUCAGAAAAAUAUGACUUCUAGCAGGUCCAAACUCACUCAUUUUCAUGGGAAUCAUCCUUGUGAAUCAAUGGCACUUACUCAACGUCAGUCGAGAUCUUUAGGAGCUGGACCGUUUCCUUUACAAAAAGAUGAAAUCACUAUACAUGUAACAGAGACUGGGUCUCCACCUGGAUUUGGGUUUGUGACUCCAGUAAGGAUCACAGUCGCCCAGAGGCAUUUGGAUCCACCACGGCCUCUCACAAAAGAAGAAAGUGAAAAAGAUGCAACACAAAAAUUGGACUUUAAAGGAUCAUCAGAGGAAAGCCAAAAAGGUUUUGAUAAAAAUCACCAGGAGCAGGUUGAAGAGCAAAAAAACAAGCCUCAACACAAUGAAAUGGAAACACUGGUGGAAGAUAUUGAAGAAAAAUUACCUGAAGAUAAAAUGACUGAAAAAGUUAAUAAGUGGGCAUUUAAUGUAAAGAGUCUUCAGAGCAAUAGAAGUGAAGAGAAUAAAAUUCCUGGGGAAGAAAUUCCAAAAAUGAUCGUUUCUUCUUCCAAUGGAUCUUCAGUACCCCUGCACCAUCAAUCAAUGUGGUUUCCAUUGGGAAUAGAGGAAGAAAAGCAAUUGAAGGCAGAUAUGCCUCUCAAAACAAUCAGAGAACAAAUAAGGAAAAAAGAAAAAUUAUCCAAUAAAGAUAUGGAGAGGAAACGAUCAUUGGAACCACCUAUAGAAGCUUGGGCCAUAGAACCAAGACCAGGAGGAAAUAACUUGACACAGGAAGAAGAGCAAAACAACAAGCCUCGACAAAAUGAAAUGGAAACACUAGUGGAAUAUAUUGGAAAAACAUUACCUGAAGAUGAAAUGACUGUCAAAGAUAAUGAGCUGGAAUUUAAUGUAUGGAAUCAUCAUAGCAAUAAAAGAGUGGAGAAUAAAAUCACUGAGACAGAAACUCCAAAAAUGACUGUUUCUUAUUCCAAGGAAAGUUCAAUACCAGUAUACCAUCAAUCAGUAUUCUUCCCAAUGAGAAAAGAGAAAGAAAAGCAAUUGAGGACAGGAAUGACUCUUAAAGAAAUCAGAGAACAAAGAAAAAGAAGAGAAAAAUUAUAUAGGAACUAUAUGGAGGCGAUGCAGUCAUGGGAAGUGGAUGAACAAUCUUGGUCUAGAGAACCAAAACCAGGAGGAAAUAAUUUGACACAGAACCUACGUGCUGUGGAAGAAACCCCCAAAAUGACCAUUUCUUCUUCCAAGGAAUCUUCAAUAUCUGAGUACCAUCGUUUCAUGUGGUUCCUACUGAGAAAAGAGGAAAAAAAGCAACCGGAGGCAGACAUGCCUCUGAAAACAAUCAGAGAACAAAUAAGGAGAGAAGAAAAAUUAUCUAGUAAAGAAGUGGAGAAGAAACAGUCAUUGGAAGUGGCUGAACAAAAUCAGGCCAGAGAACCAAGACCAGGAGGAAAUAAUUUGACACAGGUUAAAGAGGAAAAGAACAAGUCUAAACACAAUGAAAUGGACACACCACUGGACGGAUUUGGAGAAAAACUACCUGAAGAUAACAUGACUGUCAAUUUUAAUAAGCUGCCAUUUAAUGUAAAGGAUCAUCAUGGCAAUGAAAGUGAGGAGAAUAAAAUCCCUGUGGAAGAAACUCCAAAACUGACUGUUCCUUCUUCCAAGGAAUCUUCAAUACCUGUGCUCCAUCGUUUCAUGAGGUAA